AGUAACACGUGGGUGAUCUGCCCUGCACUUCGGGAUAAUUUUGGGAAACUGGGUCUAAUACCGGAUAGGACCGCACUUUAGUGUGUUGGUGGAAAGUUUUUUCGGUGUAUGAUGAGCUCGCGGCCUAUCAGCUUGUUGGUGGGGUAAUGGCCUACCAAGGCGGCGACGGGUAGCCGGCCUGAGAGGGUGUACGGCCACAUUGGGACUGAGAUACGGCCCAGACUCCUACGGGAGGCAGCAGUGGGGAAUAUUGCACAAUGGGCGCAAGCCUGAUGCAKCGACGCCGCGUGGGGGAUGAAGGCCUUCGGGUUGUAAACUCCUUUCGCUAGGGACGAAGCUUUUUGUGACGGUACCUAGAUAAGAAGCACCGGCUAACUACGUGCCAGCAGCCGCGGUAAUACGUAGGGUGCGAGCGUUGUCCGGAAUUACUGGGCGUAAAGGGCUCGUAGGUGGUUUGUCGCGUCGUCUGUGAAAUUCUGGGGCUUAACUCCGGGCGUGCAGGCGAUACGGGCAUAACUUGAGUGCUGUAGGGGUAACUGGAAUUCCUGGUGUAGCGGUGAAAUGCGCAGAUAUCAGGAGGAACACCGAUGGCGAAGGCAGGUUACUGGGCAGUUACUGACGCUGAGGAGCGAAAGCAUGGGUAGCGAACAGGAUUAGAUACCCUGGUAGUCCAUGCCGUAAACGGUGGGCGCUAGGUGUGAGGGUCUUUCUACGACUUUCGUGCCGUAGCUAACGCAUUAA
rnacentral:rRNA from 1 species